UUCAUGGAUUUACUAAAAUCUACCCAAUAUAUAGUUAAAAUUUUACU
rfam:Nelumbo nucifera unplaced genomic scaffold scaffold00087, whole genome shotgun sequence